CGGACGGGGUGAGUAAUGCUUGGGAAUCUAGCUUAUGGAGGGGGGUAACUACGGGAAACUGUAGCUAAUACCGCGUAAUAUCGAAAGAUUAAAGUGUGGGACCUUCGGGCCACAUGCCAUAGGAUGAGCCCAAGUGGGAUUAGGUAGUUGGUGAGGUAAAGGCUCACCAAGCCGACGAUCUCUAGCUGGUCUGAGAGGAUGACCAGCCACACUGGGACUGAGACACGGCCCAG
rnacentral:rRNA from 1 species